rnacentral:rRNA from 1 species
UACGGAGGAUCCAAGCGUUAUCCGGAUUUAUUGGGUUUAAAGGGUGCGUAGGCGGCCUGUUAAGUCAGGGGUGAAAGACGGUAGCUCAACUAUCGCAGUGCCCUUGAUACUGAUGGGCUUGAAUACACUAGAGGUAGGCGGAAUGUGACAAGUAGCGGUGAAAUGCAUAGAUAUGUCACAGAACACCGAUUGCGAAGGCAGCUUACUAUGGUGUCAUUGACGCUGAGGCACGAAAGCGUGGGGAGUCAAACAGG